rnacentral:rRNA from 1 species
GGGGGCUUCGGCCUGCCGGCGAGUGGCGAACGGGUGAGUAAUGCAUCGGAACGUGCCCAUGUCGUGGGGGAUAACGUAGCGAAAGCUACGCUAAUACCGCAUACGUCCUGAGGGAGAAAGCGGGGGAUCUUCGGACCUCGCGCGAUUGGAGCGGCCGAUGUCGGAUUAGCUAGUAGGUGGGGUAAAGGCCCACCUAGGCGACGAUCCGUAGCGGGUCUGAGAGGAUGAUCCGCCACACUGGGACUGAGACACGGCCCAGACUCCUACGGGAGGCAGCAGUGGGGAAUUUUGGACAAUGGGCGCAAGCCUGAUCCAGCCAUGCCGCGUGAGUGAAGAAGGCCUUCGGGUUGUAAAGCUCUUUCGGCCGGGAAGAAAUCGUGUUCUCUAACAUAGGACAUGGAUGACGGUACCGGACUAAGAAGCACCGGCUAACUACGUGCCAGCAGCCGCGGUAAUACGUAGGGUGCGAGCGUUCAUCGGAAUUACUGGGCGUAAAGCGUGCGCAGGCGGUUUGCUAAGACGUGUGUGAAAUCCCCGGGCUUAACCUGGGAACUGCGCUUGUGACUGGCAGGCUAGAGUACGGCAGAGGGGGGUGGAAUUCCUGGUGUAGCAGUGGAAUGCGUAGAGAUCAGGAGGAACACCGAUGGCGAAGGCAGCCCCCUGGGCCUGUACUGACGCUCAUGCACGAAAGCGUGGGGAGCAAACAGGAUUAGAUACCCUGGUAGUCCACGCCCUAAACGAUGUCAACUGGUUGUUGGGGGAGUGAAAUCCCUUAGUAACGAAGCUAACGCGUGAAGUUGACCGCCUGGGGAGUACGGUCGCAAGAUUAAAACUCAAAGGAAUUGACGGGGACCCGCACAAGCGGUGGAUGAUGUGGAUUAAUUCGAUGCAACGCGAAAAACCUUACCUACCCUUGACAUGUCCGGAAUCCUGCUGAGAGGUGGGAGUGCCCGAAAGGGAAUCGGAACACAGGUGCUGCAUGGCUGUCGUCAGCUCGUGUCGUGAGAUGUUGGGUUAAGUCCCGCAACGAGCGCAACCCUUAUCAUUAGUUGCUACGCAAGGGCACUCUAAUGAGACUGCCGGUGACAAACCGGAGGAAGGUGGGGAUGACGUCAAGUCCUCAUGGCCCUUAUGGGUAGGGCUUCACACGUCAUACAAUGGUCGGUACAGAGGGUUGCCAAGCCGCGAGGUGGAGCCAAUCCCAGAAAGCCGAUCGUAGUCCGGAUCGUUCUCUGCAACUCGAGAGCAUGAAAUCGGAAUCGCUAGUAAUCGCGGAUCAGCAUGUCGCGGUGAAUACGUUCCCGGGUCUUGUACACACCGCCCGUCACACCAUGGGAGUGGAAUCUGGCAGAAGUAGUAGCCUAACCGCGAGGG